rfam:Glossina pallidipes unplaced genomic scaffold Scaffold3, whole genome shotgun sequence.
UGCCGCAUGGUCUAGUGGUCAGGACGACCAGCAUGUAGCUGGGAGACCCAGGUUCGAUUCCUGGUGCGGUAU